rnacentral:rRNA from 1 species
ACCCGAUGCAAACUACGAAUACCGAAGAAUGUUAUCACGGGAGACACACGGCGGGUGCAAACGUCCGUCGUGAAGAGGGAUACAACACACAACGCCAGCUUAGGUCACAAAGUAAUGGUUAAGUGGGAAACGAAGUGGGAAGGCACAGACAGCCAGGAAGUUGGCUUAGAAGCAGCCAUCAAUUAAAGAAAGCGUUAUAGCUCACUGGUCGAGACGGCCUGCGAGGAAGAUGUAACGCGGCUAAACCAUGCACCGAAGC